rnacentral:rRNA from 1 species
CGAGCGGAACGAUCCUAGCUUGCUAGGAGGCGUCGAGCGGCGGACGGGUGAGUAACACGUGAGAAUCUGCCCAUUAGUGGGGGAUAACCUGGGGAAACCCAGGCUAAUACCGCAUAAUCCCUACGGGGGAAAGCAGGGGACCUUCGGGCCUUGUGCUGAUGGAUGAGCUCGCGUCGGAUUAGCUUGUUGGUGAGGUAAUGGCUCACCAAGGCGACGAUCCGUAGCUGGUCUUAGAGGAUGAUCAGCCACACCGGGACUGAGACACGGCCCGGACUCCUACGGGAGGCAGCAGUGGGGAAUCUUGGACAAUGGGGGCAACCCUGAUCCAGCCAUGCCGCGUGUGUGAAGAAGGCCUUCGGGUUGUAAAGCACUUUCAGUAGGGAGGAAGGCUUAUCCUUAAUACGGAUGAGUACUUGACGUUACCUACAGAAGAAGCACCGGCUAAUUUCGUGCCAGCAGCCGCGGUAAUACGAAAGGUGCAAGCGUUAAUCGGAAUUACUGGGCGUAAAGCGCGCGUAGGCGGUUUGCUAAGUCAGAUGUGAAAGCCCCGGGCUCAACCUGGGAACUGCAUUUGAAACUGGCAGGCUAGAAUGCAGUAGAGGGAGGUGGAAUUUCCG